GUGAACAAAUCUCCCUGGGGGUGGCUAGAGCAGCGCACUCCCCGGUGGCCCCCGCGCCCGUCCCGGGAUGUCCGGGUGGGAGUGGGGCUCCGGGGGGGGGGGGUGCGGGGGGCUGCGCCUCCCACCCGCGGGCCCCGAGGACGGGGUGACGGGCGGGGCGGCCCUGAGGAUCCCAGGUGGGCGGGGUCCGGGAAGGCCCCGGGGACCGGGCGGAGGGGCCGCGAGCCGCCCCGCGCCCUACAGCCCGUAGCGCCACCCGCUGCCGCGCGCGGAGGAAGGGCCCGGAGGGAGCCAGGGAGGUGGGCCGCGGGCUUCAGGCCGGGACGCGCCGAGACUCGGGACGCCGGCGCCGCCGCCUCCGCCUCCGCCUCCGCCUCCGCCUCCGCAGCCGCGACUGCUAGCUCGGGAGCCGCAGCCCUCGGACGCCGGGGCCGCCGCCCGGACAGCGCCGCCAGGACCGGCCCGCGGGCACCUGUCGCGGGUCCCGCUGAGGCCCGCGCGCGCCCCCUCCCGGUGCGACUGCGGAGCUGCGGCCCCCGAGCCCCGGGACCCCGCGGGCCGCAGAUUGCUUUUUCUUUCUUUUUUUGUCCUGGAGUUAUCGUUUUCUUUCUUUCUUUCUCUUUCUUUUUCUUUCUUUCCUUCCUUCUUUCUUUCUUUUUCUUUCUUCUUUAUUUUUUCUUUCUUAUUUCUUUUUUUUCUUUCUUCUUUCUUUCCUUCUUUCUUUAUUCUUUCUUCUUCUUCCUUUCCUUCUUUCUUCUUUCUUUCUUUCUUUCCUUUUCCUUCUUUCUUAUUUCUUUAUUUAUUCUUUCUUUCUUCUUUCUUUCUUUCUUUCUUUCUUCUUUCUUUCUUUUUUCUUUAUUCUUUCUUUCCCUCUUUCUUUCUUUUUUCUUUCCUUAUUCUUUCUUCUUCUUUCCUUCUUUUUUUAUUUCUUCUUUCUUUCUCUUUCUUCUUUCUUUCCUUCUUUCUUCUUUCUUUCUUUUUUCUUUAUUCUUUCCCUCUUUCUUUUUUCUUUCCUUAUUCUUUCUUCUUUCUUUCUUCUUUCUUCUUUCCUUAUUUCUUUAUUCUUUCUUCUUUCCUUCUUUCUUUCUUUCUUUCUUUCUCUUUCUUCUUUAUUUCCUUCUUUCCUUCUUUCUUUUUUCUUUCUUUAUUCUUUCUUCUUUCUUUCCUUCUUUCUUCUUUCUUUAUUCUCUCUUCUUUCUUUCUUCUUUCUUUUUUCUUUCUUUCUUUUUUUUAAUUUUUUUAUUGGAGUUCAAUCUGCCAACAUAUAACAUAACAACACCCAGUGCUCAUCCCACCAAGUGCCCGGCCGCAGAUUAUCAAGAGUCGCCCCCUGGGGGCGGGGGGCUGUGGUUCUCCCCCUUCAGCGCUCACGACAAACGCCUGGACGACUCAUGA
rnacentral:lncRNA from 12 species